rnacentral:rRNA from 1 species
GUAGGUGGCAAGCGUUGUCCGGAAUUAUUGGGCGUAAAGCGCGCGCAGGCGGUUCUUUAAGUCUGAUGUGAAAGCCCACGGCUCAACCGUGGAGGGUCAUUGGAAACUGGAGAACUUGAGUACAGAAGAGGAAAGCGGAAUUCCACGUGUAGCGGUGAAAUGCGUAGAGAUGUGGAGGAACCCCAGUGGCGAAGGCGGCUUUCUGGUCUGUAACUGACGCUGAGGCGCGAGAGCGUGGGGGAGCAAACAGGAUUAGAUACCCUGGUAGUCCACGCCGUAAACGAUGAGUGCUAAGUGUUAGGGGGUUUCCGCCCCUUAGUGCUGCAGCUAACGCAUUAAGCACUCCCGCCUGGGAGUACGGCCGCAAGGCUG